AGAAAGGAAAAAAAAAAGGCUCACAAAGAGCUAGAAACCCUGUAGGAUCCGGGCAUGUCAAGAACCACAGCUACAGCCUCCUCGGUAGUGUGUGCAGCCUGUUGCCUGUACAGGUUACCCUAAGGGACCCUGGAGACAGCC